GAUGAACGCUGGCGGCGUGCCUAAUACAUGCAAGUCGAGCGAACGGACGAGAAGCUUGCUUCUCUGAUGUUAGCGGCGGACGGGUGAGUAACACGUGGAUAACCUACCUAUAAGACUGGGAUAACUUGGGGAAACCGGAGCUAAUACCGGAUAAUAUUUUGAACCGCAUGGUUCAAAAGUGAAAGACGGUCUUGCUGUCACUUAUAGAUGGAUCCGCGCUGCAUUAGCUAGUUGGUAAGGUAACGGCUUACCAAGGUAACGAUGCAUAGCCGACCUGAGAGGGUGAUCGGCCACACUGGAACUGAGACACGGUCCAGACUCCUACGGGAGGCAGCAGUAGGGAAUCUUCCGCAAUAGGCGAAAGCCUGACGGAGCAACGCCGCGUGAGUGAUGAAGGUCUUCGGAUCGUAAAACUCUGUUAUUAGGGAUGAACAUAUGUGUAAGUAACUGUGCACAUCUUGACGGUACCUAAUCAGAAAGCCACGGCUAACUACGUG
rnacentral:rRNA from 1 species